GGGGGGGCGUGCGUUGUUCGGAAUUACUGGGCGUAAAGGGUGCGCAGGCGGCCUGGGAAGUCUUGGGUGAAAGCCCCCAGCUCAACUGGGGAAUGGCCUGAGAAACCACUGGGCUGGAGUGCUGGAGAGGGAAGCGGAAUUCCCGGUGGAGCGGUGAAAUGCGUAGAUAUCGGGAGGAACACCAGAGGCGAAGGCGGCUUCCUGGACAGACACUGACGCUGAGGCACGAAAGCUAGGGGAGCAAACGGGAUUAGAUACCCCGGUAGUCCUAGCUGUAAACGAUGGGUACUAGAUGUGGAGGUAAUUAAAGUCCCUUCCGUGUCCGCGAUAACUCAAUAAGUACCCCGCCUGGGGAGUACGGCCGCAAGGCUG
rnacentral:rRNA from 1 species